rnacentral:rRNA from 1 species
UACGUAGGUGGCAAGCGUUGUCCGGAUUUAUUGGGCGUAAAGAGCUUGUAGGCGGUCUGUCGCGUCUGCUGUGAAAAUCCGGGGCUCAACCCCGGACCUGCAGUGGGUACGGGCAGACUAGAGUGUGGUAGGGGAGACUGGAAUUCCUGGUGUAGCGGUGAAAUGCGCAGAUAUCAGGAGGAACACCGAUGGCGAAGGCAGGUCUCUGGGCCAUAACCGACGCUGAGAAGCGAAAGCAUGGGGAGCGAACAGG